CUAUAUAAACACCAUUCAGCCUUCAAGGAAGACACACAGCCAUUCAUACACAUUUCCAUUAGUUCUAAGGCUUGCAAAGAAGGAGGAGUGCUUGGAGUUGUGCUAGCCAUUCCAUUGGAGUUGUUGGAGCAUUCUAGGGCAUUGGACUUCUCCUUGAGUAAAAAGUGGUCAAAUGGAAAAACUUUGGAGCCAAUUGGAGGAUGUUCGUGUGCCUUUCAACUUGUUUAUGUUAAAGUUUCAGAACUUUAUACCAAGCGGAUAAUUUAUGGCGAUGAAAUAAAGGAGCAGCGCGCGGUGGUGUCAAACUGAUGUUUUGGGCUUAUCUGGGCUUUUUGGAGUUCAAGAUGAUGUCUUUUAGGUUCGAGGCCUUCUGCAAUUAUGUUUGGGACAUCUCAAGCUUUAAUUUAAGUCAUUUUGGGCCUUUUUUGAAGCCCUAAAAGUCUAAAAAUGUGGCUGAUUUGUGGCUGGGUAGAUUACCAGAUUUGAUCAGGAUUAUGUUUCCUAGUUUCUCUUAAGUUAUUAUGUUUCCUAGUUUUUAGAAGACCUUUUCUAGUAUGGAUUUUAUUUUGUAGUAGUAUAAAUAAGGCUUUUUAGCCAUUAGGGUUUAGAGAAGAACACAUACACUACUAAGAAUGCACGCAUUAGUUUGGAGAAUUCGGCAUAGAGAGCCUUUGACGAUUCAAGUUUGUUUUCAAGGUGUUCAAUCCAUGUUCUUAAUAAUAUUUUGCUUUAUGAUUGUUCGUAA